UGCCAGCAGCCGCGGUAAUACGGAGGGGGCUAGCGUUGUUCGGAAUCACUGGGCGUAAAGCGCACGUAGGCGGACUGGACAGUUGGGGGUGAAAUCCCGAGGCUUAACCUCGGAACUGCCUCCAAUACUUCCAGUCUCGAGUUCGAGAGAGGUAAGUGGAAUUCCUAGUGUAGAGGUGAAAUUCGUAGAUAUUAGGAGGAUCACCAGAGGCGAAGGCGGCUUACUGGACAUAUACUGACGCUGAGGUGCGAAAGUGUGGGGAGCAAACAGGAUUAGAUA
rnacentral:rRNA from 1 species